rnacentral:piRNA from 1 species
UGUGGCGCUGUCUUGUAUUCC